GACGAACGCUGGCGGCAUGCCUAAUACAUGCAAGUCGAACGCUUUAAUUUCACCGGGUGCUUGCACCCAUCGAAGUUAAGGAGUGGCGGACGGGUGAGUAACGCGUGAGCAACCUGCCUAUCACUGGGGAAUAACGCAUCGAAAGGUGUGCUAAUACCGCAUGAGACCACAAGAUCGCAUGGUCAAGGGGUCAAAGAUUUAUCGGUGAUAGAUGGGCUCGCGUCUGAUUAGCUAGUUGGUGAGGUAACGGCCCACCGAGGCGACGAUCAGUAGCCGACCUGAGAGGGUGAUCGGCCACAUUGGAACUGGAGAAACGGUCCAA
rnacentral:rRNA from 1 species